UACGUAGGGUGCAAGCGUUAAUCGGAAUUACUGGGCGUAAAGCGUGCGCAGGCGGUUUCGUAAGUCUGUCGUGAAAUCCCCGGGCUUAACCUGGGAAUGGCGAUGGAGACUGCGAGGCUAGAGUUUGGCAGAGGGGGGUAGAAUUCCACGUGUAGUAGUGAAAUGCGUAGAGAUGUGGAGGAACACCGAUGGCGAAGGCAGCCCCCUGGGUCAAAACUGACGCUCAUGCACGAAAGCGUGGGGAGCAAACAGG
rnacentral:rRNA from 1 species